UACGAGGGGGGCUAGCGUUGCUCGGAAUCACUGGGCGUAAAGGGUGCGUAGGCGGGUUUUUAAGUCAGAGGUGAAAUCCUGGAGCUCAACUCCAGAACUGCCUUUGAUACUGAAAGUCUUGAGUAUGGGAGAGGUGAGUGGAACUGCGAGUGUAGAGGUGAAAUUCGUAGAUAUUCGCAAGAACACCAGUGGCGAAGGCGGCUCACUGGCCCAUUACUGACGCUGAGGCACGAAAGCGUGGGGAGCAAACAGG
rnacentral:rRNA from 1 species